rnacentral:rRNA from 1 species
AUUGAACGCUGGCGGCAUGCUCUACACAUGCAAGUCGAACGGUAACAGGCCGCAAGGUGCUGACGAGUGGCGAACGGGGGAGUAAUGCAUCGGAACGUGCCCAGUCGUGGGGGAUAACUACUCGAAAGAGUAGCUAAUACCGCAUACGAUCUAUGGAUGAAAGCGGGGGACCGUAAGGCCUCGCGCGAUUGGAGCGGCCGAUGUCAGAUUAGGUAGUUGGUGGGGUAAAGGCUCACCAAGCCAAAGAUCUGUAGCUGGUCUGAGAGGACGACCAGCCACACUGGGACUGAGACACGGCCCAGACUCCUACGGGAGGCAGCAGUGGGGAAUUUUGGACAAUGGGCGCAAGCCUGAUCCAGCAAUGCCGCGUGCAGGAAGAAGGCCUUCGGGUUGUAAACUGCUUUUGUACGGAACGAAACGGCUCUGGUUAAUACCCGGGGCUAAUGACGGUACCGUAAGAAUAAGCACCGGCUAACUACGUG